UGGGGAAUAUUGGCCAAUGGGCGAAAGCCUGAUCCAGCCAUGCCGCGUGUGUGAAGAAGGUCUUCGGAUUGUAAAGCACUUUCAGUUGGGAGGAAGGGCAUUAACCUAAUACGUUAGUGCUUUGACGUUACCGACAGACUAAGCACCGGCUAACUCUGUGCCAGCAGCCGCGGUAAUACAGAGGGUGCAAGCGUUAAUCGGAAUUACUGGGCGUAAAGCGCGCGUAGGUGGUUUGUUAAGUUGGAUGUGAAAGCCCCGGGCUCAACCUGGGAACUGCAUCCAAAACUGGCAAGCUAGAGUACGGUAGAGGGUGGUGGAAUUUCCUGUGUAGCGGUGAAAUGCGUAGAUAUAGGAAGGAACACCAGUGGCGAAGGCGACCACCUGGACUGAUACUGACACUGAGGUGCGAAAGCGUGGGGAGCAAACA
rnacentral:rRNA from 1 species